GAUGAAGAACGUAGCGAAAUGCGAUAAGUAAUGUGAAUUGCAGAAUUCAGUGAAUCAUCGAAUCUUUGAACGCACAUUGCGCCCCUUGGUAUUCCGGGGGGCAUGCCUGUUCGAGCGUCAUUAUAACCCCUCAAGCUCAGCUUGGUGUUGGGGCCUGCCAACUGGCAGCCCUUAAAAUCAGUGGCGGCGCCAUCUGGCUCUAAGCGUAGUAAUUUCUCUCGCUAUAGGGUCCCGGUGGAUGCUUGCCAACAACCCCCCAUUUUCUAUGGUUGACCUCGGAUCAGGUCGGGAUACCCGCUGAACUUAAGCAUAUCAAUAAGCGGAGGC
rnacentral:misc_RNA from 1 species